AGAUUGAACGCUGGCGGCAUGCCUAACACAUGCAAGUCGAACGGGAGUAGCAAUACUCCAGUGGCGGACGGGUGAGGAAUACGUAGGAAUUUGCCCUUAAGUGGGGGAUAACCCGGGGAAACCCGGAUUAAUACCGCAUGACCUCGAAAGAGCAAAGUGGGGGAUCGCAAGACCUCACGCUUUUGGAGAAGCCUACGUCGGAUUAGCUAGUUGGUGAGGUAAUGGCUCACCAAGGCGACGAUCCGUAACUGGUCUGAGAGGAUGAUCAGUCACACCGGAACUGAGACACGGUCCGGACUCCUACGGGAGGCAGCAGUGGGGAAUAUUGGACAAUGGGCGCAAGCCUGAUCCAGCAAUGCCGCGUGUGGUGAAGAAGACCUUCGGGUU
rnacentral:rRNA from 1 species